AGCCCUAAGUGGGUGGUAAACUCCAUCUAAGGCUAAAUAUGACCACGAGACCGAUAGCGAACAAGUACCGUGAGGGAAAGUUGAAAAGCACUUUGAAGAGAGAGUUCAAGAGUACGUGAAACCGUUUAGGGGUAAACCUGAGAAACCCGAAAGGUCGAAGGAAGAAAUUCAUUCGCGUUUCGUCGCAGGCGUCGAACGGGAUUGUGUGACGGGUGAUGUGUGUUCGCGCACGUUUCCUGCACCUCUCGUUCUUCGAACCGGUGACGAACGCGUGCACUUUUCUUCUGGUAGGACGUCGCGAUCCGUUGGGUGUCGGUCUACGGCUCGCGGUGGAGCCCGUUCGUCGUAUUUUACAUACGUGUACGAACGGACCCGCGUGUAUCCUGGCUGACUCGCUCGACGGUAUACGAAAGGUUUAAGGUCGCUCUUUAGGAGCGUUCGACUCGUGGCAAGCGCGCCAGAUGUAUGUCGGCGAUCGGACCUAGUGCCGAUUCUGACCUCUGGUGACUGUUGGCCGCGAAGUUCUCGAACAGACCUCUCUUAAAACCGAUCUGCGACGCUAUAGCUUUGGGUACUUUCAGGACCCGUCUUGAAAACACG
rnacentral:rRNA from 1 species